ensembl:ncRNA K01G5.11 ncRNA
ACAUUUUCGAAUUUUGUUCAUUUUGGCGCGCAAAUCUGGCUUGUUGCGCCAUUUUCGAAUACUUUUCUUGUCCCUGGCGCCAAGUUUUGUCAUCUUUUUUCGGUUUUUUCAUUCAUUUUGAUGCAUUUGCGUUGUUUCCUCAGUUGGUUCACUGUAAUUUUCGAGUUCUCUCUGAUUUUGCUCCAUGAGCAAGCUCUGAUCACGAGAUAAUCUCUCUGCUCAG